AUACGUAGGGGGCGAGCGUUGUCCGGAAUGACUGGGCGUAAAGGGCGUGUAGGCGGCCUGAUACGUCUGGAGUGAAAGUCCUGCUUUCAAGGUGGGAAUUGCUUUGGAGACUGUUGGGCUUGAGUGCGGAAGAGGUAAGUGGAAUUCCCAGUGUAGCGGUGAAAUGCGUAGAGAUUGGGAGGAACACCAGUGGCGAAGGCGACUUACUGGGCCGUAACUGACGCUGAGGCGCGAAAGCGUGGGGAGCGAACAGGAUUAGGUACCCUGGUAGUCCACGCGGUAAACGAUGAAUGCUAGGUGUAGGGGGUAUCGACCCCUCCUGUGCCGGAGUGAACACAAUAAGCAUUCCGCCUGGGGAGUACGGCCGCAAGGUUGAAACUCAAAGGAAUUGGCGGGG
rnacentral:rRNA from 1 species